CCUGCUUUUAGCAUGCCUCUUAGUAGAAAACUUUAAGAAAUCAAACGGUUCAGUUGGAUUAAUAACAAAAAAAAAAAACAAAAAACAAAAAACAAAAUAAAAACAAAAAACAAAAAAAAACAAAAACAAAUGGGUCGAGUGACUUAAACGCGGCUCAAAGACCAUUCAAUGAUAGAAUCAGAGUGAUGAAGCAGAAGUAGGGAUUCUGUGUAGGAGGCCAUCUUGAAGGAGGCACCAUAAAUCCCAAGACCAUUCAUGCUAUCCGAGGCAGGCUCAUAAACUUGAAGUUCACCACCACCUUCACCAGCAACAACAGGUCGAUGAUGCAUAGGUUGGCCAUUCUUCGUAAAUCCAAUUAUACUAUCGACCUCAACAUCCCUAAGAGUGAGUAGUUUUGUAAAAGAGGGCAUCAUCCAUACGUCACAGCCUCUACAGCUUUUGUAGUCAAGCACAACAACAGACUCCUUGAGCUUAUAUAUAUUGAGAUAUCGACUGCGUGCUAAAGCAUCCGGAAGAUCUACUUGUCCAAACUCUUCCCGUGUCAAAUCAAAUGAAAUAAUCCGAUAAGUCUUUGGAGGAGUCAAACUAAAAGUAAGUCAAUGAAUAACCCCAUCAUCUGUAACCACCGCCGCAUUAGCCGACGAAAAUCGCAUUGAUUCAGGCAGAGGCAGAUUCAUCGAUAUGCUGCUGCUUCCCCAAGCCCCAGCCCCAGGCGGUCAGAAGUUUGAGGACAAACCCCAAAACCUAAAGCAUCUACUCCAUCGGGCAAGGCUAUACCAAAAGAUUUCCUAAUAGAUGGAUUCCAGAGAACAAUCAACCUCUUCCAAUAAUUGAACAAACACACCAAUCCGUGAGAGCAGCCGAGCAAUGUUGGAUGCCUAACUAGCUUAACAGUCGGAGUAGUAACAGUAGGAGAAAACCUGUGAUCAUCAUCAUCAUCAUCAACAAUCGAGACAUAUUUGAACUUCAUAUCUUCUUCUUCGCAGUGCAUUACGAGCAGAUGAUGCGGCUGCUGAGUCUGGUUGACUCUGUGAUAGGUGAUAAACUCAGGGCUAUCGAUCAGAGACAUCCAUUGUUUCGAAACGGAUCUGAACCUGAUCAAUGAUUUCACUGGAACCCUUUUGAUAAUUUCCACUUGGAUUUCUAUUGGGAUGUUGUCGGACAUCUUCUUCUUAGCUUCGCUUUGGGAUCGUAAUUGGAGUUUAGGUUUAGGUUUCUCAGAAACGUACAUACAGU
rnacentral:lncRNA from 1 species